ensembl:rRNA 5S_rRNA 5S ribosomal RNA
GCUUACGGCCAUACCAACCUGGCUAUGCCCGAUCUCGUCUGAUCUUGGAAGCUAAGCAGGUUUGGGCCUGCUUAGUACUUGGAUGGGAGACCACCUGGGAAUAACAGGUGCUGUAAGCU